UUGUAGCCACAACUCCUCUUUACAUCAAGAUUGCUUUCAUAUACCUUGCUUUCAUUCCCUUACUUCUUACCAGAGGACUCUUAUUGAUGGGGGCGGAGACGGAAGUGGGAAGACACAUCUCUAUUUGAACAUUUACGACAUCUCGCCGGUAAAUAAGUACUUAUAUUAUUUGGGCCUCGGCAUCUUCCAUUCCGGGAUUGAAGCCCAUGGCAUGGAAUAUGGAUUCGGAGCACAUGAGUUCUCGAUGAGCGGGGUAUUUGAAGUA